rnacentral:rRNA from 1 species
CCUACGGGGGGCAGCAGUGGGGAAUAUUGGACAAUGGGGGCAACCCUGAUCCAGCCAUGCCGCGUGUGUGAAGAAGGCCCUCGGGUUGUAAAGCACUUUCAGUGAGGAAGAACGCCUGGUGGUUAAUACCCAUCAGGAAAGACAUCACUCACAGAAGAAGCACCGGCUAACUCCGUGCCAGCAGCCGCGGUAAUACGGAGGGUGCGAGCGUUAAUCGGAAUUACUGGGCGUAAAGCGCGCGUAGGUGGCUUGAUAAGCCGGUUGUGAAAGCCCCGGGCUCAACCUGGGAACGGCAUCCGGAACUGUCAAGCUAGAGUGCAGGAGAGGAAGGUAGAAUUCCCGGUGUAGCGGUGAAAUGCGUAGAGAUCGGGAGGAAUACCAGUGGCGAAGGCGGCCUUCUGGACUGACACUGACACUGAGGUGCGAAAGCGUGGGUAGCAAACCGGAUUAGAUACCCUAGUAGUC